UCCUUCAAGCCGCCGCGCCGCACGUGCCUGGCGCGCCGCGGUGCUCGGCUCACAACACUUGCCUCCACUUCGGCCCACACCACAAAUUCUUUUUUCUCCUUUCUUACUGAUAUCUGGCUAACUACAUGCCGUGAAAUCUUGAUGAAUGUUUUUUCUGAUUGUUCACUGGUGUGUAUAUACGCUUGAGGUGCGGAAAUGAACGAAAUAAGCCUCGGUGUGUUUACUCGGCCCGCCAGACGUCAACUUCAAACCGCGGUGAGUGUGGCGGCCCGCGGCGGUGCUCGUGUGCUUUACCGUGUGUUGGCCCUCCCCCAGGCGGCCCGUGGCGUGCGUGGUGCCCGGGAUACCAAGGCGGCCGUCACGCGAGGCUCGGGAAGGUCGUUUCAAGUGUUCUGAUCUGCUGUGCUUCAAGAUGUGAAAGAAAAAGAUCCUCACAUGACACUCAGAAAAAGUAAAGGAAAUGUUAAAACUAUAAUGUCAUGCAAAGAGGAAGUUAAUAAAUAAGUGAAGCGUCGAUACUCAGGAAAAUAAAAGAAAGUGUAAAAAUUGUCAUGCGAAGAGGAAGUUAGUUAAGAAUGAAGCGUCGAUACUCGGAAAAAUAAACGUAAGUGUGAAAAUUAAGUCACAUGAAGAGGAAGUUAGUGAAGAAGGAGAGUGUCAUCCCUUGUGAAGUGUAUGUAAGGGAAUAUGAUGUGCCAAGAGGAAUCAAACUCUCAUGAUACUCUGGAAAAUAAUAUGAAGUGUAAGAAUUAUGGAAUGGAGUAUCAUGCCUUGUGAAGUGUAUGCGAGGGGGAGCCAAGUGCCGAGAGGAACCUGCCAGCCAGCCAAGCAACCAGGAGGCAGAGAUGGCUGGAAGCAGGCACUCGAGGAACAUGUCGUAAGGUGAGUAGGCAACCUGGUUCGCUGUUUUUGUCAUAUUAAUAUACCGGUACCUGAAUUGCUGUAGGAUUUCUUUUGUGUAAUGUAGGUUAUUUAUUUUUAUUUUUGUUGGUGUAUCUUCCUUUUCUUCUUAUU